UACGUAGGGUGCGAGCGUUAAUCGGAAUUACUGGGCGUAAAGCGUGCGCAGGCGGCUUUGCAAGACAGAUGUGAAAUCCCCGGGCUCAACCUGGGAACUGCAUUUGUGACUGCGAGGCUAGAGUACGGCAGAGGGGGAUGGAAUUCCGCGUGUAGCAGUGAAAUGCGUAGAUAUGCGGAGGAACACCAAUGGCGAAGGCAAUCCCCUGGGCCUGUACUGACGCUCAUGCACGAAAGCGUGGGGAGCAAACAGG
rnacentral:rRNA from 1 species